rnacentral:rRNA from 1 species
AUACGGAGGGUGCAAGCGUUAAUCGGAAUUACUGGGCGUAAAGAGUACGUAGGCGGUUUGUUAAGUUAGAUGUGAAAGCCCCGGGCUUAACCUGGGAACUGCAUUUAAAACUGGCAAACUAGAGUUGGAUAGAGGGAAGUGGAAUUUCAGGUGUAGCGGUGAAAUGCGUAGAGAUCUGAAGGAACACCAGUGGCGAAGGCGACUUCCUGGACUCAAACUGACGCUGAGGUACGAAAGCGUGGGUAGCAAACGGGAUUAGAAACCCUAGUAGUCC